rnacentral:rRNA from 1 species
UACGAGGGGGGCGAGCGUUGUUCGGAAUUAUUGGGCGUAAAGAGCUCGUAGGCGGUUUGUCGCGUCUGCUGUGAAAACUCGGGGCUCAACUCCGAGCUUGCAGUGGGUACGGGCAGACUAGAGUGCGGUAGGGGAGACUGGAAUUCCUGGUGUAGCGGUGAAAUGCGCAGAUAUCGGGAAGAACACCCGUGGCGAAGGCGGCUACUCUGGGACGGUACUGACGCUGAGGAGCGAAAGCGUGGGAGCAAACAGG